UCUGGCGUCUUUGGCGUCCGAGUUGUAAUUUCAAGAAGUGUCUUCUGGUUUGGCCCUUGCAUAUGUUCCUUGGAACAGGACGUCAUAGAGGGUGAGAAUCCCGUAUAUGGUGAGGUGCCCAUUUCCUUUGUAAGACGCUCUCUAAGAGUCGAGUUGUUUGGGAAUGCAGCUCUAAGUGGGUGGUAAAUUCCAUCUAAAGCUAAAUAUUGGCGAGAGACCGAUAGCGAACAAGUACUGUGAAGGAAAGAUGAAAAGAACUUUGAAAAGAGAGUGAAAAAGUACGUGAAAUUGCUGAAAGGGAAGGGCUUGAGAUCAGACUUGGUAUUCAGUGAUCAGCUGUCUUUCGGGACUGUGCACUCGCUGUUUACUGGGCCAACAUCAGUUUGGAUGGCGAGAUAAUGACAAUUGAAUGUGGCUCUCUCUUCGGGGGGAGUGUUAUAGCUUUUGUUGAUAUCGCCUAUCU
rnacentral:rRNA from 1 species